CAUUUCCGCAAUGGGUGCAGCUUCUACAGAGAGAAGUUGGUGGGCCAGAGGCGGAGCCCUAGCCCUAUCCCUGUCCCCUGAGGGACCUCAGAAUUGUUGGUGUUUCCACGGGCCCCCUCCGGGACAAUGACUUUUGCUCAGCUGGUCCCAUGAAGCAUCCCCUCCAAUCUCCGUGAUGUCUGUUUCAAAGUACAUAAUGCUGGACUUGGCUGGCCUCCCUCUAUUUACCAAGAAAGUUCUAGAGGAUGGCAUUCCGCGCAUCUCUACCAAACCUAAACUGUUGCCUUCGGUGAUGUGCACAGAAUUUGAAAAAACCUGUCGAGGUCUGCUUUCCUUAGGGGGCCUCAUUCAGAGCCCAUCUUCCCUCCUUCAAGCCAGACCGGGAUUCCAGCAUCGGGGAUCCCCCUUUCCCCUCCUUCUUCAGUUGUGUAAAGGCUGGAGGACAUCCUCUGAAAUGCUCCCAGCCUUUGGCAAGAGAAGGAAGGAGGCCAAAACCAGUACCUGACCCACAGGGAGACACCACUCAUCUCCUCAACGAAGAACUUGGAAUUGAUGGUGUUGACAUGAGGUCCUACAGGACACUGCCCUCUGUCCACUUGGGCUCCCAGCCAUGCCCAGAAGGCUCCAUGAAGUCAGCUGCAAAACAGUCAACCAUCACAUGUACCCACCCCUAAACACUGAGACCCUAAAGUGACUCUUGUAAUCCAAGAGAUGAGUUUUGGCCCCAAUCUUGGCCAAUAUCCUUCGACUUUCCCCUGAGUCCCCUGAACAGACUUCGAUGAGGCCUUUCUCUUGAUCAGGGCUCCCCAGAUCCUCACAACCUCCAGGACCCUCCAUUUGAAAGCGGAGCCUAUUGUCCUGGUUCUCUCCCCUCUUGAUUGUUACAUAGGGUGGGGACUUGUUCGGACACCUCUGGAAACACAAACAUAAUCAGGUAAUUGUCCUCACAUAACAUUUACACUAAUGUUCUCUCCUAUCUUUAGUGUAAUUUCUCUAAAACAUUUCAAGAAAGACUAUACCUUCAGUGAAUGGAUUUUGCAAAGACUGUUAGAGGUCUACCCUGUAAUUCUUCUUCAAGUACAACCAUUCCCACCUUCAUAAAGGGAAGAUUAGAACCCUGUAAUGUUUCGGUGCUGUACUUUUAGAAGGAAAGUGCCCAUUUUGGAUUUGGGACAUCAUUGUUCUGGAAUAAUGAGAUGGUGGUCCACCCCUCUCAUGCCUGCAGUUCACUAUCUUAUGCCAUUAACGAGGAGACUGCCAUUUUCUGCUCCUGGUGUGUAGGUGGGGGACUACUUGUUAAUGGUUUCUGUGGGAAUGGCAUGAGUAGGGAAGGCUACUAAGUGACUGUGGAAAGUAGGGAGUUCAUGGACUGAGAAUGGAAGAUGUGAGGACGUGAUUGUCUGUGUGGGAUGUGUGAUCUCUCUAUAGAUCCUGUGCAAUGUGGGGCAGGACUCUGUGUGGACAGGGAUGCCUCUACAGUAAUCCAAGGGCCAGAAACCUACUGGCCAUUCUCCAGGAAUACGAGCUUUUCCCACAAGACCAAUGGAACGUGAGCAUUUCUUCUGUCUUUCUUGAAUAUUUUGUGUCUUGUAAACAGACUGGGUUAUAGACAAUGGCAUCAGCUCACAGUGUGUUUUCAUUUAUGCCUAGAAUCAGGACUAGAACAAGACAGCCUAAACCAAUGCCAGUGCGACUUUUGGGGUGAAUGAUCGAACGACUAAUAAAAUAAAGUCAUCUUCCCUAAACAA